rnacentral:rRNA from 1 species
GAUGAACGCUGACAGAAUGCUUAACACAUGCAAGUCUUUGGCGAAGCUGUGCUUGCACAGCCUAGCCAAGGCGGACGGGUGAGUAACGCGUAAGGAACUUGCCCUGCAGUCAGGGAUAACAGACGGAAACGACUGAUAAGACCUGGUAAAGUCAGGCGGACUCAUGUCCAGCCUGAUGAAAAGAGAUGCUGCAGGAGAGCCUUGCGUCCUAUUAGCUUGUUGGUGGGGUAACGGCCCACCAAGGCGAUGAUAGGUAGCCGGCCUGAGAGGGUGGACGGCCAAAGGGGGAAUGGGACACGGCCCUUACCCCUACGGGGGGGAGCGGGGGGGAAGAUUGGACAAGGGGGGCAACCCUGAACCAGAAAUUCUGUGUGCAAGAUGAAGGUUUUCGGAUUGAAAAGUGUUUUAAGCAGGGAAAAAAAAAAUGACGGUACCUGCAAAAGAAGCAGCGGCUAAAUACGU